GUAAAAUGCAGCUGAUGAGUGAUGAGUCUAUUUAACAGAGUCUGGGGUCAGUGUGAACCAGGCAAGUGAUGAUAGCACGAAUUAGUGUAUUAUUAUUAUUAUUAUUAUUAUUAUUAUUAUUAUUAUUAUUAUUAUUAUGAGCAUGAAUUGCUGUAAAUAGUCUAUGGACCAUCUGAGAAUCCUUCAUGUGCUUGUGCUUUUACUAUUGGAAUUUAAUACCUGUUGCUUGCUGGAACCAUUUCUACUUCAGCAAUCAGUAUAAUGAGACUGCGUUUUGCUCCUGUUGACAUUUAUAAAUGGACCGGUGUGGCUGUGUAGACAGCUGUGGGGACUGUAGUGUCCCUUUUUCGCUGUGCGCUCAUCGUACGACCGGCUGCCUUGAAUUGACAGAUUGCUUGUUGUAUUUCCUUAUCGUGAUUUUCUCAAUCAUCAAAGCUAUUGCCUCACCUAUCUGUAAUUAGUUGUUACCAUCACAACAUUACCUCAUGAGCCCCUCCUUCCUUCGCAUGCGUGCGGCCUGAAAUGAGUUUCGUCGGUGGGGCAGAAAGUGGGCGUGGGGGGAUAACAUGACGCGUGCACCCAGUCAAUCACCUCAGCUACAGUUAAGGAAUCCAGUGGGCUGAUGCUCCUCAUAUUUCAUCCUUGGUAAAGAUUACCUGUCGGCCCCAGAGGAGAUGUAUUGAUCUGUUUUCCUUUUUUUCUGCCAGCAAUCACCUGACAAAGGCACCUAGGAGUGCAGAAGUGAGUGAUGCCCGUUCAUGUCUCCACCUACUGUGGUAUAUUUUGGGGUGGGGGUAGGGGUGGGGAUUAUGGAGGGAUUGGUGCCUAUUUAAACCUGAAGAUAAUGUCAGCGUAAACCCUGCAUGAACUUGUGCAUCAAGUCAUGACCAACACACUCAGAGCUAUUUUACUUAGAUGAAAUUCAGGUUCAGUUACUCAACAGUCGGCUACAGUGGUGUAAACAGGAAUUCAUUUCAGGGGACCAUGUGAAAAUAUGCCAACUAAAUGUAGGAAAUGGUCUAAAUAAAAAAUCACAGCAUGUUUUUACAAGUAAAUUAAUACGUGUAAUGCCCUUUUGCAUUUUGGGUGGAUGCCAGACAGCAGGUGGUAGUAUUCAGAAUUUGUCAUUUUAUUGGUAGUCAAUAAAAUAUGAUUAAGCAAACAAAGGGAUGCAUUUAACAUCUGGUGCUGUUAAAUAUGGAGGAAUCGUAAUGAUGAUUCUGCUGACUUUUAUGAGCAUCAAAAUAAUACAAUUACUACACAAUAAAAUGGUAUUUGGCACACACACACACACACACACACACACACACACACACACACACACACACACACACACACAUAUAUAUAUAUAUAUAUAUAUAUAUAUAUAUAUAUAUAUAUAUAUAUAUAUAUAUAUAUAUCCACCCAUGAAAAAGGAACUGUCAUAUUUCAAGUGGACUCCUAGAGUAAUGUUGUUUUUUUAAAUAGUAAGAAGUGUCUGUAUCUGAUUGUAUCUAGUAACGAUAUCGAAUGGAAUUGUGUUAGGGUGUGUUUAUAAGGACUGGCAAUGAUAAAAAAAAAAGAAAAGAAAAGAAAAGAAAAACAAAAGAAAAUAUCUGAGUAGUUGCAUCCGGUCCAUAAAUGGUACAGUAUUCAACCUGAGCGAUGUAGGUUAUGAAAUAUCAUACUUAACAUUAUAACAGCAUUGAAAAAGAAAUACAAUAAAAUUCUUUCUAUAGGAAAAGACGGUGGUACCACUACUGAUAAAAAAUAAAAAUAAAAAAUACUAUUGCAUGUCUUGCUAUAAAUGUAUUGCGGUGUAUACGAUGCCGUAGUGUAAUAAUUAUACAUGUUUAAUGCUUGCUCAUUUGGAUAACUGUUUUGAAAUUCUGCAAGCCAUCUUUACUAUCAACUUUCAGGUAGAUAUUUAACAGAUCUUGUUAAAAAUGUAAUACAGUACCCACUGGUCAUAUAUUAAAAUCGGAUAGGAAAUAUAUAAAUUUGGGCUGUAUUCAGAGUGGAGUUCUGCACGGGUAGUGAAGUUUUUAUCCCUGAAUUGGUAUCCAGAUUUAAGAACUAGUCACAAGUGAUGCGGGAGUUACACAUGCAGGGUGAAGCUUGAAUAAAACAGAGGUGUGGCUCAGUUAAGCGUGAUUCCGACCUUAAACUUAAGCUGUUUUUUUUUUUUUGUUUUUUUUUUGCACAAUAUCGGAUUCACAGCUUGAUAUAAUCAGAAUAUGUCAUGGUGUAAUUCAUGUUUUGGGCUGUAAAUACUCUCAGAGAAUUAUGACAUGCAGAUAUUAAAUACAUAAUUAUGACAAUACACCCAGAAAUUCGACUUAAGAAGGCGCAUAACCAGACUCCACAAAUUUCCCUGUGUAAAUAUCCACGUAACUGUUGGACAUAAACUGUCGACUCUGAAUACGGCCCUUACGGUAUAAACAUUUCUUUUACUGAGGGAAUGUUGUGUGGCACACGUGAGCAAAUCUAGUCAGUGUCAUCUGGGCAGCUGUUUCUUUGUAUAUUAAAUCUUGCACAAAGAUCACAUGUUACUACAGUAUAUAUGUAUUAUGGAUGAGAAAGCAUGCAUAUGAAUCUCAGUACACUUGUCAUUGUAUAUCAGUAAGAGCUUAUCGGUAGAUUUGGAAUGAAUUGAAGGAUUGUAAUGAAAAAUAAAACAUCUGAUAUGUGAU
ensembl:lncRNA